GAUGAAGAACGUAGCAAAAUGCGAUAAGUAAUGUGAAUUGCAGAAUUCAGUGAAUCAUCGAAUCUUUGAACGCACAUUGCGCCCGCCAGUAUUCUGGCGGGCAUGCCUGUUCGAGCGUCAUUUCAACCCUCAAGCCCUCGGGUUUGGUGUUGGGGAUCGGCGAGCCUUUCUGGCAAGCCGGCCCCGAAAUCUAGUGGCGGUCUCGCUGCAGCCUCCAUUGCGUAGUAGUAAAACCCUCGCAACUGGAACGCGGCGCGGCCAAGCCGUUAAACCCCCAACUUCUGAAUGUUGACCUCGGAUCAGGUAGGAAUACCCGCUGAACUUAAGCAUUUCAAUAAGCGGAGGA
rnacentral:misc_RNA from 1 species